CACCUCUAGCAUUUCCAGUAUUAGAGGCACUGCCUGCCCAGUGACAUCUGUUUAAACGGCCGCGGUAUCCUAACCGUGCAAAGGUAGCAUAAUCACUUGUUCCCUAAAUAGGGACUUGUACGAAUGGCCACACGAGGGCUUUACUGUCUCUUACUUCCAAUCAGUGAAAUUGACCUUCCCGUGAAGAGGCGGGAAUGACUAAAUAAGACGAGAAGACCCUAUGGAGCUUUAAUUAACUGAUUCACAAAAAACAACACACAAACCUAACCUUCAGGGACAACAAAACUUUUGAUUGAAUCAGCAAUUUCGGUUGGGGUGACCUCGGAGAACAAAACAACCUCCGAGUGAUUUAAAUCCAGACUAACCAGUCAAAAUAUAUAAUCACUUAUUGAUCCAAACCAUUGAUCAACGGAACAAGUUACCCUAGGGAUAACAGCGCAAUCCUAUUCCAGAGUCCAUAUCGACAAUUAGGGUUUACGACCUCGAUGUUGGAUCAAGACAUCCUAAUGGUGCAACCGCUAUUAAGGGUUCGUUUGUUCAACGAUUAAAGUCUU
rnacentral:rRNA from 1 species